rnacentral:tRNA from 1 species
GCGCCCGUGGUGAAAUGGAUAUCAUGACAGCCUCCGAAGCUGUAGGUCCAGGUUCGAUUCCUGGCGGGCGCA